GAUAAACGCUGGCGGCGUGCUUAACACAUGCAAGUCGAACGAAGUUUUUCUUUCGGGAGGAACUUAGUGGCGGACGGGUGAGUAACGCGUGGGUAACCUGCCCUGUACAGGGGGACAACAGCUAGAAACGGCUGCUAAUACCGCAUAAGCCCUUAGCACUGCAUGGUGCAUAGGGAAAAGGAGCAAUCCGGUACAGGAUGGACCCGCGUCUGAUUAGCCAGUUGGCAGGGUAACGGCCUACCAAAGCGACGAUCAGUAGCCGAUCUGAGAGGAUGUACGGCCACAUUGGGACUGAGACACGGCCCAGACUCCUACGGGAAGCAGCAGUGGGGAAUAUUGCACAAUGGAGGAAACUCUGAUGCAGCGACGCCGCGUGAGUGAAGAAGUAUUUCGGUAUGUAAAGCUCUAUCAGCAGGAAAGAAAAUGACGGUACCUGACUAAGAAGCACCGGCUAAAUACGUG
rnacentral:rRNA from 1 species